rnacentral:rRNA from 1 species
AGGGUAGUGACGCGAGCUGAUGGAUGCUCGUCCAAGCAGUGAGGCUGAUGUGUAGGCAAAUCCGCACAUCGUUAAGGCUGGGCUGUGAUGGGGAGGGAAAAUUUACAGUACCGAAGGUCAUGAUCUCACACUGCCAAGAAAAGCCUCUAGUCAGGAGAAGGUGCCCGUACCGCAAACCGACACAGGUAGGCGAGAAGAGAAUUCUAAGGCGCGCGGAAGAACUCUCGUUAAGGAACUCGGCAAAAUGACCCCGUAACUUCGGGAGAAGGGGUGCCCCGGUAGAGUGAAUAGCUCGAGGGGGCCGCAGUGAAAAGGCCCAAGCGACUGUUUAGCAAAAACACAGGUCUGUGCGAAGCCGCAAGGCGAAGUAUACGGGCUGACGCCUGCCCGGUGCUGGAAGGUUAAGGGGAGUGGUUAGGGAGCAAUCCCGAAGCUAUGAACCGAAGCCCCAGUAAACGGCGGCCGUAACUAUAACGGUCCUAAGGUAGCGAAAUUCCUUGUCAGGUAAAUUCUGACCCGCACGAAUGGCGUAACGACUUGGGCGCUGUCUCAACGAGAGAUCCGGUGAAAUUUUAAUACCUGUGAAGAUGCAGGUUACCCGCGACAAGACGGAAAGACCCCAUGGAGCUUUACUGCAGCUUGAUAUUGGACUUUGAUACGAUUUGUACAGGAUAGGUGGGAGCCUAGGAAGCCGGAGCGCCAGCUUCGGUGGAGGCGCCGUUGGGAUACCACCCUGAUCGUAUCGGAGUUCUAACCUGGUACCGUGAACCGGUACGGGGACAGUGUCAGGUGGGCAGUUUGACUGGGGCGGUCGCCUCCUAAAGAGUAACGGAGGCGCCCCAAGGUUCCCUCAGAAUGGUUGGAAAUCAUUCGAAGAGUGCAAAGGCAAAAGGGAGCUUGACUGCGAGACUGACAAGUCGAGCAGGGACGAAAGUCGGGCUUAGUGAUCCGGUGGUACCGCAUGGAAGGGCCAUCGCUCAACGGAUAAAAGCUACCCUGGGGAUAACAGGCUUAUCUCCCCCAAGAGUCCACAUCGACGGGGAGGUUUGGCACCUCGAUGUCGGCUCAUCGCAUCCUGGGGCUGAAGUAGGUCCCAAGGGUUGGGCUGUUCGCCCAUUAAAGCGGUACGCGAGCUGGGUUCAGAACGUCGUGAGACAGUUCGGUCCCUAUCUGUCGUGGGCGUAGGAAAUUUGAGAGGAGCUGUCCUUAGUACGAGAGGACCGGGAUGGACGCACCGCUGGUGCACCAGUUGUUCCGCCAGGAGCACAGCUGGGUAGCUAAGUGCGGACGGGAUAAGCGCUGAAAGCAUCUAAGCGUGAAGCCCCCCUCAAGAUGAGAUUUCCCAACUAGUAAGACCCCUUGAAGACGACGAGGUUGAUAGGCCUGAGGUGGAAGUGCAGCAAUGUAUGGAGCUGACAGGUACUAAUCGGUCGAGGGCUUAUCCAA